AUACGUAGGUGACAAGCGUUAUCCGGAUUUACUGGGCGUAAAGGGCGUGUAGGCGGUCUUGCAAGUCAGAAGUGAAAUUCCUGAGCUCAACUCGGGCGCUGCUUCUGAAACUGCAGGACUUGAGUGCUGGAGGGGAUAGCGGAAUUCCUAGUGGAGCGGUAAAAUGCGCAGAUAUUAGGAAGAACACCGGUGGCGAAGGCGGCUAUCUGGACAGUAACUGACGCUGAGGCGCGAAAGCGUGGGGAGCAAACAGGAUUAGAUACCCUGGUAGUCCACGUCGUAAACGAUGAAUACUAGGUGUGGGGGGACUGACCCCCUCCGUGCCGCAGUUAACACAAUAAGUAUUCCGCCUGGGGAGUACGAUCGCAAGAUUGAAACUCAAAUGAAUUGACGGGG
rnacentral:rRNA from 1 species